rnacentral:rRNA from 1 species
GAUGAACGCUAGCGAUAGGCUUAACACAUGCAAGUCGAGGGGCAGCAUGGUCUUAGCUUGCUAAGACUGAUGGCGACCGGCGCACGGGUGCGUAACGCGUAUGCAACUUGCCUCACAGAGGGGGAUAACCCGUCGAAAGACGGACUAAUACCGCGUACACUUGGGAUAGGGCAUCCUGACCCAAGGAAAUGAAAUUCGCUGUGAGAUAGGCAUGCGUCCCAUUAGCUAGUUGGUGAGGUAACGGCUCACCAAGGCGACGAUGGGUAGGGGAACUGAGAGGUUGAACCCCCGCGCUGGUACUGAGACACGGACCAGACGCCUACGGGAGGCAGCAGUGAGGAAUAUUGGUCAAUGGGCGAGAGCCUGAACCAGCCAAGUCGCGUGAAGGAUGACUGUCUUAUGGAUUGUAAACUUCUUUUAUACGGGAAUAACAAGAGUCACGUGUGGCUCCCUGCAUGUACCGUAUGAAUAAGCAUCGGCUAACUCCGUG